GAUGACCGCUGGCGGCGUGCCUAAUACAUGCAAGUCGAGCGAAGCGGGGACGGGUGAGUAACACGUGGAUAACCUCCUAUACGACUGGGAUAACUUCGGGAAACCGGAGCUAAACCGGAUAAUUAUAGAUGGUACCGCGCUGCAUUAGCUAGUUGGUAAGGUAACGGCUUACCAAUGCAACGAUGCAUAGCCGCACUGAGAGGGUGAUCGGCCACACUGGAAAUGAGACACGGUCCAGACUCCUACGGUAGGCAGCAGUAGUGAAUCUUCCGCAAUGGGCGAAAGCCUGACGGAGCAACGACGCUUGAGUGAUGAAGGUCUUCGGAUCGUAAAACUCUGUUAUUAUGGAAGCGGUACCUAAUCAGAAAGCCACGGCUAACUACGUGCCAGCAGCCGCGGUAAUAC
rnacentral:rRNA from 1 species